rfam:Myotis brandtii contig167785, whole genome shotgun sequence.
GGCUGAUUUUGGGUGGCACACCCCAGAAUCAGGCUCCCUCCUUUCUGGUUCCAGGUGCAUCACCCGAGAACUGCA